CCUACGGGAGGCAGCAGUGGGGGAUAUUGCACAAUGGGGGGAACCCUGAUGCAGCGACGCCGCGUGGGUGAAGGAGUGCUUCGGCAUGUAAAGCCCUAUCGGCAGGGAAGAAGCAAGACGGUACCUGACUAAGAAGCCCCGGCUAACUACGUGCCAGCAGCCGCGGUAAUACGUCGGGGGGGAGCGUUCUCCGGAUUCACUGGGUGUACAGGGAGCGUAGACGGCCAUGCAAGCCAGGGGUGAAAGCCCGGGGCCCAACCCCGGGACUGCCCUUGGGACGGCAUGGCGGGAGUGCGGGAGGGGCAGGCGGAAUUCCUGGUGUAGCGGUGAAAUGCGGAGAUAUCAGGAGGAACACCGGCGGCGAAGGCGGCCUGCUGGACUGCGACUGACGUUGAGGCUCGAAAGCGUGGGGAGCGAACAGGAUUAGAUACCCCAGUAGUC
rnacentral:rRNA from 1 species